UACGUAGGGGGCAAGCGUUGUCCGGAAUCAUUGGGCGUAAAGAGCGCGUAGGCGGCCCAGUAAGUCCGCUCUGAAAGUCAGGGGCUCAACCCCGGGAGGCGGGUGGAUACUGCUCAGCUCGAGUCCGGAAGAGGAGUGUGGAAUUCCUGGUGUAGCGGUGAAAUGCGCAGAUAUCAGGAGGAACACCGGUGGCGAAGGCGGGUCUCUGGGCCGAUGACUGACGCUGAGGAGCGAAAGCGUGGGGAGCGAACAGG
rnacentral:rRNA from 1 species